AAUAAUAGAAUUAUCUCGACUUGCUGCUAUUUUUUUAGAUAAAAUUAAUUGAAAGACAUGAGUAGCUCAUUUGAUAUUUUGAUGUAACAAAAAAUUUUAAUGAUUUCCUAAUUAUUCAAAAUUAUUUUUUUGAGACUUAUUACUCUUUACUAUACCGUUACUUAUGUUUCAAAUUUUGAUGGUGAUUGAAAAGCUUAACACGUGUGUGUGUGUGUGUGUGU
rnacentral:misc_RNA from 1 species